CCGCAUGUAAGCCCGCUCUGUAAACCUCCAAACAGGGAUAUGUGAUUACCUACUCAUAUGGCAUUAACAGGAGAUAUAUGUCACAUUUGGGACUGUGGACAGUCAUGCAUCUUUAUGGACACAUAUUUACUCUGACUCCUUGGAAAUAACUUUCUUACAUGCCAUGCAUGGAUGUCGCAUGUGGAGUAUUUAAAUCAUAAUGUGCGCCCCUGGAGGCCAAGGGGGCAGGUUGUGGAGGCGGUGUACCACAGAUUUCCGACAGAUGGCGCCAGGAAGAACAUCGUGCCAAUCAUUGAGAUGCGGAGCACCUGAUGAAUGAAUAAAAGUGCCAUUUUGGCUUUAAGGAUUGUACAGCCUCAGUCUUCCAUGCCAAGGAAUCGCUGCACCUGGACUAAACCGUUGAAGAGGUUCUGUUACUUCAACUGUUUUCGCCACUUGCUCGCUUCCUGCAUGUUUUAAAGAUCCUGCAUGAGAUAGAAAACAAUGAAUUAAAAUAAAUAUUACUGAUAGAAACAAGACAAGGACAAUGCCACUAACAGGAGGAUAGUUAUGAGAAAGCCUUCAUAUUAUAGUGUUCACGUUACAAGCCUUCAUUUUAUAUAUAUUUGCCGGUCUUCUAUACGUCAUCACGGUUGCACUGUGCAAACUUGGGGCAGAAAGAAGCAAGCAACAUCUACUAGCCUUUACAGUAUAGAAUAUUUUGUGACUGUUCAGUGUGCAUCUCAAACGUGACAGGUCGUAAAGUAAUAUUAACAUAGCUAGCACAUUAGAAAGCAGCUUACAUCUUAAAGUCAAAUAAUUAGAUAGAUAAAGGCUCAAAUUUGCAAAAGGUACGUUUGGGAAUAUGUUGAGGGUGUGUAUGCAAGCCUUCCUGGCUACAGACGGGGGAUUAGUAAUCCACUUCUUUUUACUUACCGACAUGAUCUUAACUUCAGACUUCGACUUCAAGGAUGAGCUUGCGUAAUGUGUGAACCGUGAUUACAAUACUUUUUUUACCGUGAAAAGAGGAAGAUCUCGCGUGGACCAAGAUUUAGAAAAGUACAAGACACGCCUCCUCCUACAACAAGUUACGCCUACUACAAGUUACGCCUCCGUCUUGCAGGACGCAGACAGACCCUACUCACCUGUUGCGGUGAUCAUUGUCAACUAUGACAGAGCAGGUGCUUCAUGAAGAAACAAAAUGAAGAAGCAAAAAACAGUGUUUUAAAAUAAAUAAAUAAUGUAAGUAGGAUAUCCUACGCCUGUUGCCUGUUGACUUUCCCAGAUGUGGCAGCUAAUCGUUUUGUAAUGUUGAGUAGCUAGUGACAUUAAUAAACGGCAUUUGCUCUUACCUGAAGUAGGCUAAAUGUAAAAUAAAAGUAUUUAUAGGCCGUAGGUGAAUAGCUCUAAUGUUUUUUCAUUUUCAUGUACAAUCUUAUUUUAGCUAGAAAAAACCUAAAGAAAUGUUGAGUGUGCCGGGCUCUGGCCCAUAUAUUAAUACCUUGUCAUUACUAGCUACUUAGUGCUAUCAUAUUAAUACCUUUUCAUUUUCUGUAGCUAGCUAGAGAUUGUUGAUGGUGGUGGCCAUAUCAUCUGCUGAGGCAGAGCGCCGUUUUAGCUGGUUACGCAGAUUGAAGACAUGGUUGCGAUCAACCAUGACGCAAAAAAGACUCAUGGCAUUGCUGUGUGCCAUAUUCACCAAGAGAGGCUUGACAGACUGGACGGACAAGAAUUUGCCCAGAAGUAUGCUCAGGGUAAUGAAAGGAGGGGAGAAGUUUUUGGGUCCUUCAGUAAGUCUGCUUACACAGUAAAUUUGUUUGGCUUUUUUUUUCAUUUAUGUAAAUAUGUUGUUGAUAACACUUCUGG